GAGCAGUUUGGUUCACUUGCAGCCCUACCCUAGUCAAACAGAUAAUAGUUUGCCAAUAAUACUCACUGCCAAGGGUCACUUACAAAUAUAAGAUGUUAUUCGUGAUUUCUAAUUUAUGUUGUGGAAAACUGUAUUAUUUGCUGUCACAGGAGUUCUGAAGUAUGCUAUCAUGAAAAACACUUUCUUCAAUGAAAAGUAGCACAAUGCCCCAAACUUUAGUAGAAUUCCUGGACAUUACUAUUUUACCUUGUCAUUCCUGUUAUGGGGCAUUUUGAUGAUGUUCAGAAAGCUCCUAGUCUACCAUCUAAAGCACCAAAAGAAUUCAAGGAAUUGGAUGAUAAUAAGAGCAAGAAGGGACUUGCUAAAGUUCAC